rnacentral:rRNA from 1 species
GAUGAACGCUAGCUACAGGCUUAACACAUGCAAGUCGCGGGGCAGCAUGGGGGUUGCUUGCAAUCCCCGAUGGCGACCGGCGCACGGGUGAGUAACGCGUAUCCAACCUGCCCUUCACCACGGGAUAACCCGGCGAAAGUCGGACUAAUACCGUAUGUUGUCCAUUGACGGCAUCCGAUUUGGACGAGAGGUUUGGCGGCGUAGGAUGGGGAUGCGUCCGAUUAGCUGGACGGCGGGGUGACGGCCCUCCGUGGCGACGAUCGGUAGGGGUUCUGAGAGGAAGGUCCCCCACACUGGAACUGAGACACGGUCCAGACUCCUACGGGAGGCAGCAGUGAGGAAUAUUGGUCAAGGGGCGUAAGCCUGAACCAGCCAAGUAGCGUGCAGGAGGACGGCCCUAUGGGUUGUAAACUGCUUUUAUGCGGGGAUAAAGUGGCCCACGUGUGGGUUUUUGCAGGUACCGAAUGAAUAAGGACCGGCUAAUUCCGUG